GUUGAGGAGAAGGGUUGUGCAGCAGAGAGGCUCUUUAGUUUUUUUAUUCUACUGCAGUGGAAGAACAUUGUUCAUCUGCUGUCUGUUUGGCUUCAACAACUCCAAAGACAUGUUGCUUUACCUCUUUUUGUUUUUAUCUCACUUCAUAGACAUGGGUUCCAUGAACAGCAUAAAGCCAGAAAGUGCUGAAGAAGUUGUUGCAGAGGGAACAAACAUCAACCUGACCUGUAAAUAUGACGGUGCUAUCAACAAUAUCCAGUGGUACCGACAAUACCAGAGAUCCAGACCAGAGUUCCUGCUCUACAUCACAGAGGGAGGAUCGACUCAUCCAGUUCUUUCUGAUUUCUCAGCUCACAUUAACAAAGGAGAGAAACGUGUAGAUCUGGAGAUCAUCUCAGCUAAAGUGACAGACUCUGCUGUGUACUACUGUGCUCUGAUGCCCACAGUGACAGGAAACACCACAACUCUGUACAAAAACCUUUGGAGCAAAGACAAACACAGUCGUGAUAAAGAGCUUUAG